GGAAGUUAAAGGCUGACAAAAAACACAACAGAGCCUCUUGGAAAAGACGUGGGGGGGUUCGGCGGAUGACAAGAAUAACACUCGACACUGUGAGAAAGUUCUGUCUAAACAGUUAAACGUUGUGUUGUUUUUUUUGUUAAUGACACAAAAAUUCCAGACAACUUUCAAAGCAGUUAAAAGAAUUUCAUGGAACCGCAGUUAAAACUUCUUCUGCAACCAACACGACUUCAAGUGAGGCGGGGCCUUCAAAGACUUUCCCAAUGGUCAUCUGACUCAUGGAGGUCACCAUGGCUCUGAAAGGAAGUACUAUAGCAGACUGCCCAUAAACGCACCACCACGCUCCGUGCGCGCACGGGAAAGAGGCGUGCGGACGUGAAAAAGGCGGCUCUGUAUGGGAGAGACGUUGAAGAGGAAUAAAAACACCCUUGGAAACCAAAACUUGGUGAUUUCAAGUUUCAUUUUGAUGGACAUUUGUCACGUCUCGUCCCCAGUUUUGCUAUGUGUCUAGGUUGCCAUAGUUUCUGUUCGCGUCGCCCCUCUCUUCCUGUGUCACCUCAAUCGAUGUAACGUGUUUUGUAUUUAAGUCCUGUCUGCCCCUCGCUCACCGUCGGAUCAUUGCAUGUGUCAUGAUGUCUGUUUGCUUUCUGUUCCUGUCUUUGGUAAUGUCACCCUGUCUUUUUGUUCCACGACUUUGUCGGUCAGUCCUGUUGUUGGUUUUGUUUUCUAAAAAAAAAAAAAAAAAAUUUAAAAAAAAUGUAAAUAAAUUUGUACCCAUGUAUAAUGCGCACCCCAGAUUUUAGGACAAUAAAUUCGUUAAAUUUUGCGCACUAUACACGGAAAAAAACGGUAAUAGUUAUUUGAUAUCUAAUUUAUAUAUCGUUAUAUGGGCCUGUGGAAUAUUUUGAAGGGCAAGCGCCGUCAGCGGCGCGCACCCAUUGUUGACAAAGGACGAUCGAUGGAUUUAAUGAAUUGGAGUGACACAGAUGGUUUUAUAAACGUGUUAUUUAUGUAAUAGUUUUUUUUAAUAACUCUGAAUGUUAUGUCAGGCCCGUUCUCAGCUCUUCGUUUGUGUUUAUGUCACGUUGGCAUACCUAUCGUUUAGCCUGUUGUUGCUCGUUCAUGUCUGUUCUUGGUGUUGGAUUUUGUCGAAUAAAUUUCCCCCCAGAAUGCGA